CUGUGACCCCAAAGAACUUCAUCUUCUGUAUAUGAGGUCCUAGCUUGACACGUCAUUCCUACAGAAACAGAGACAAGAACAUGACACACUAACGUGAGCAAGCAGACAACAAGGCACAUCGAACAAAAAAUAGGAGUCAGUCUGUCCAUCAUUGAUGAGGACAGGGAAAGGAAAAAUAUCAGCUGAUUGCUUGUCAAAGCAUUCUCAUGGAUUAUCUGUGCUUCGAAAGGAACCUGCAGCACUAAGCUGCAGGCUACACCACUGCUUUUGUUGCCUGGCUGCUGUUCUUUCUGUGGGCACCCAAAUUGGUUGGCAACGUGUGAUCUUUGCUCCGAGAUCAUGAGGCUCUGCAUGAGCUGUAUGAACCAGUAUCUAAACCUGACAUUUUCCAAAAGUUUAAUCAAAUACAAUUGCCUAGACAGAAAAUGUGCACAUUUGCACAAAGCGCUGCCUGAAUGACUUA